AGGGGAGUGAAAUAGAACCUGAAACCGUGUGCUUACAAGUAGUCAGAGCCCGUUAAUGGGUGAUGGCGUGCCUUUUGUAGAAUGAACCGGCGAGUUACGAUUUGAUGCAAGGUUAAGCAGUAAAUGUGGAGCCGUAGCGAAAGCGAGUCUGAAUAGGGCGUUUAGUAUUUGGUCGUAGACCCGAAACCAGGUGAUCUACCCUUGGUCAGGUUGAAGUUCAGGUAACACUGAAUGGAGGACCGAACCGACUUACGUUGAAAAGUGAGCGGAUGAACUGAGGGUAGCGGAGAAAUUCCAAUCGAACCUGGAGAUAGCUGGUUCUCUCCGAAAUAGCUUUAGGGCUAGCCUCAAGUGAUGAUUAUUGGAGGUAGAGCACUGUUUGGACGAGGGGCCCCUCUCGGGUUACCGAAUUCAGACAAACUCCGAAUGCCAAUUAAUUUAACUUGGGAGUCAGAACAUGGGUGAUAAGGUCCGUGUUCGAAAGGGAAACAGCCCAGACCACCAGCUAAGGUCCCAAAAUAUAUGUUAAGUGGAAAAGGAUGUGGCGUUGCCCAGACAACUAGGAUGUUGGCUUAGAAGCAGCCAUCAUUUAAAGAGUGCGUAAUAGCUCACUAGUCGAGUGACACUGCGCCGAAAAUGUACCGGGGCUAAACAUAUUACCGAAGCUGUGGAUUGUCCUUUGGACAAUGGUAGGAGAGCGUUCUAAGGGCGUUGAAGCAUGAUCGUAAGGACAUGUGGAGCGCUUAGAAGUGAGAAUGCCGGUGUGAGUAGCGAAAGACGGGUGAGAAUCCCGUCCACCGAUUGACUAAGGUUUCCAGAGGAAGGCUCGUCCGCUCUGGGUUAGUCGGGUCCUAAGCUGAGGCCGACAGGCGUAGGCGAUGGAUAACAGGUUGAUAUUCCUGUACCACCUAUAAUCGUUUUAAUCGAUGGGGGGACGCAGUAGGAUAGGCGAAGCGUGCGAUUGGAUUGCACGUCUAAGCAGUAAGGCUGAGUAUUAGGCAAAUCCGGUACUCAUUAAGGCUGAGCUGUGAUGGGGAGAAGACAUUGUGUCUUCGAGUCGUUGAUUUCACACUGCCGAGAAAAGCCUCUAGAUAGAAAAUAGGUGCCCGUACCGCAAACCGACACAGGUAGUCAAGAUGAGAAUUCUAAGGUGAGCGAGCGAACUCUCGUUAAGGAACUCGGCAAAAUGACCCCGUAACUUCGGGAGAAGGGGUGCUCUUUAGGGUUAACGCCCAGAAGAGCCGCAGUGAAUAGGCCCAAGCGACUGUUUAUCAAAAACACAGGUCUCUGCUAAACCGUAAGGUGAUGUAUAGGGGCUGACGCCUGCCCGGUGCUGGAAGGUUAAGAGGAGUGGUUAGCUUCUGCGAAGCUACGAAUCGAAGCCCCAGUAAACGGCGGCCGUAACUAUAACGGUCCUAAGGUAGCGAAAUUCCUUGUCGGGUAAGUUCCGACCCGCACGAAAGGCGUAACGAUUUGGGCACUGUCUCAACGAGAGACUCGGUGAAAUCAUAGUACCUGUGAAGAUGCAGGUUACCCGCGACAGGACGGAAAGACCCCGUGGAGCUUUACUGUAGCCUGAUAUUGAAAUUCGGCACAGCUUGUACAGGAUAGGUAGGAGCCUUUGAAACGUGAGCGCUAGCUUACGUGGAGGCGCUGGUGGGAUACUACCCUAGCUGUGUUGGCUUUCUAACCCGCACCACUUAUCGUGGUGGGAGACAGUGUCAGGCGGGCAGUUUGACUGGGGCGGUCGCCUCCUAAAAGGUAACGGAGGCGCUCAAAGGUUCCCUCAGAAUGGUUGGAAAUCAUUCAUAGAGUGUAAAGGCAUAAGGGAGCUUGACUGCGAGACCUACAAGUCGAGCAGGGUCGAAAGACGGACUUAGUGAUCCGGUGGUUCCGCAUGGAAGGGCCAUCGCUCAACGGAUAAAAGCUACCCCGGGGAUAACAGGCUUAUCUCCCCCAAGAGUUCACAUCGACGGGGAGGUUUGGCACCUCGAUGUCGGCUCAUCGCAUCCUGGGGCUGUAGUCGGUCCCAAGGGUUGGGCUGUUCGCCCAUUAAAGCGGUACGCGAGCUGGGUUCAGAACGUCGUGAGACAGUUCGGUCCCUAUCCGUCGUGGGCGUAGGAAAUUUGAGAGGAGCUGUCCUUAGUACGAGAGGACCGGGAUGGACAUACCUCUGGUGUACCAGUUGUCGUGCCAACGGCAUAGCUGGGUAGCUAUGUGUGGACGGGAUAAGUGCUGAAAGCAUCUAAGCAUGAAGCCCCCCUCAAGAUGAGAUUUCCCAACUUCGGUUAUAAGAUCCCUCAAAGAUGAUGAGGUUAAUAGGUUCGAGGUGGAAGCAUGGUGACAUGUGGAGCUGACGAAUACUAAUCGAUCGAAGACUUAAUCAA
rnacentral:rRNA from 1 species